UAACUGAAGAGUUUGAUCAUGGCUCAGAUUGAACGCUGGCGGCAGGCUUAACACAUGCAAGUCGAGCGGGGAAGGGUAGCUUGCUACCUGACCUAGCGGCGGACGGGUGAGUAAUGCUUAGGAAUCUGCCUAUUAGUGGGGGACAACAUUCCGAAAGGAAUGCUAAUACCGCAUACGCCCUACGGGGGAAAGCAGGGGAUCUUCGGACCUUGCGCUAAUAGAUGAGCCUAAGUCAGAUUAGCUAGUUGGUGGGGUAAAGGCCUACCAAGGCGACGAUCUGUAGCGGGUCUGAGAGGAUGAUCCGCCACACUGGGACUGAGACACGGCCCAGACUCCUACGGGAGGCAGCAGUGGGGAAUAUUGGACAAUGGGCGCAAGCCUGAUCCAGCCAUGCCGCGUGUGUGAAGAAGGCCUUUUGGUUGUAAAGCACUUUAAGCGAGGAGGAGGCUACCGAGAUUAAUACUCUUGGAUAGUGGACGUUACUCGCAGAAUAAGCACCGGCUAACUCUGUGCCAGCAGCCGCGGUAAUACAGAGGGUGCGAGCGUUAAUCGGAUUUACUGG
rnacentral:rRNA from 1 species